rnacentral:lncRNA from 1 species
CUUGAACUCAGGAACCCCUUUGGACCUCUGGAGUACUGGGAUUACAGAUGUGCACCACCACACCCACCCUGUGGGCUUCAUUACAAUGUAAAAACCCAGAAAAGUGUCUCUGACAAUCCACAGCACAGAUGAUGGGCUGCCCUGGAACUCACUCUGUAGACCAGGUUGGCCUCGAAUUCAGAGAUCCACCCGCCUCUGCCUCCCGAGGGCUGGGAUGAAAGGCGUGUGCUACCAUGUCUGGCUUGAGAAAUUCAACCUCCAAAACCAGCUUCUACUUGGCAUACUUGAAGACCUCUCUAACUUAAAAGAGUGGUACACGUCUCUGGGCAGCAUGCCAAGGUCAUAUUUCAAAGACCAAGUUAAUUUUCAUGGAAAAGGAACCCUAUGGACGUUUUUGGAAUUUGAUUUUAGAAAGCAACUUCCUGGGCGGGGGAGCAGGUUACUUAGCAUCCAAGUGACUCCUCCCUCAUGCUUCUUUGCACACUUGAGGAAAACCCCUUUUGAGUCCAGUUUCACCAGGAAAUUAAUGACCCUUCCUUGAAGAUUCAAGUUAAGUCAAGUUUGUCUCCAAAAGGGAAGCUGUGGUUUUUCUUCUUCUUCUUCUUCUAAACACGAAUAUUUACUGCCCACCCCCGUACCUACCUCCCUGUACAGCUCUUUCCAUUUUCCAUAUGCUUUUCCAGAGCUAGUCGUUUGUCACUUGAAGACAGGUAGCAAGUGAGAUGUUGAAGUUGGUACUCUAAGGCUCUUGGCCAGUGUCCCCUAGAUAGCAAGCUGUGGCCAGGGCAAAUACAGAGACAUCAGGAGUGUGUGUGUGUGUGUGUGGGGGGGGUGUUGGGGAAACACAUUUUCAUUGGUUGUAUCUUACGAGGCGCAAUUCUCAUUGGCUACACCUUAGGGCGGGGGCACAUUCUCAUUGGCUGGAGGAGUUUC